rnacentral:rRNA from 1 species
UACGGAGGGGGCAAGCGUUGUUCGGAAUUACUGGGCGUAAAGGGCGCGUAGGUGGCGAUAUAAGUCAGACGUGAAAUCCCUCAGCUUAACUGAGGAAUUGCGUUUGAAACUGUAUUGCUUGAGUACAGGAGAGGAGAGUGGAAUUCCCAGUGUAGCGGUGAAAUGCGUAGAUAUUGGGAGGAACACCGGUGGCGAAGGCGGCUCUCUGGACUGUUACUGACGCUGAGGCGCGAAAGCAUGGGGAGCAAACGGG